AGUCAUUGUGCUGGCAUCUCACCGGCAAGUUUUCAAUAGUGGAACUAAGGUAAGCCUCAUAGGAUCCAUUUAGAUCAUGUUUGAGGUUAGUUUAGGGUAGUUUUGAGAACCUUGGUAACGUUUGAACGCAGGAACAACUCGGGGAAGCAUUCUCCAUAUUUUCUAAGGAGUACCCGUGGGUUCGAGACCAAUUUCCGGCCAACUUCGACCACCACAUGUCGUGAAAUUGGUAUAGAUCUUUUCCUUGUUUUUUGGGUUUCAUUUUGGUAUUUUGUUCGACAUGUUUUGGUCACGUUUUGGGGUUGAUCGGAGCUUGGAAGCUCCGACUUCCUUUUUCAGUCGAAACCAGGCCGUUGGGCCGUGCCAACCCAAAACCCUUUUACCCUGAACUGGCCCAGGUCUUUGGGCCAUGGACCUCGGGUCAGACCUUGGCCUUUUAAGUUGAGCCCAACCCAAGUCCUUAACCCAUGAGUCCCAACCCAGGAGCCCAAACCUUUGGGCUGGGCUACCAAACCCACUGAGAAACAAGCCCAAACCUAAAAGAAAAACCGGCCCAAACCCUUUAACUCGACCCAGUUGGAACAUUCAAAGGAAUAUUGACUUUUUGUUGACUUUUUCAAAAUUUACCCAGGACCUUUCUUAAGGUACUUCGACGUCUUGAAUCCGUUUCUAAUGUCUAUUUUCCGAAAUUCAAUCGUUUGAGUAUAGCUUUAUUAAUUGGACCCUUUAUGUGCUUAGGUGCAUUUAUUGUGACGCUUUCGUCUUCGCUAGUUUACGUGGCUCUUCGACGGUGAAGUAUUUGUGAGUGGACCCCUUCUAAAAUGCAUGCUUUAAUAGUAUAAAUGCAUACAUGAAAAUCAUGAUUCAAUAGUUACGUUUUAUGAAACGUUUGUGUGUAAGCUAGAUUUACAUUAUAUGAUUAUCAUGCUUUACUGAGAAUAUUUUGGAAUACCAUACUUUAUCGAAUUAAUGUUCUUUGUAGUAUAUAUGAUGGAUGACUAUAUACUAUUUAUGAACAUGUUUUUACACCCUUUAUAGUAUAUAUGAUGGAUGACUAUAUACCAUGAAGUGGUUUUGAGAUAUAUUUUGGAAAGAUUAUAUUCAAUGGUUUUGUGCUUAUCAAGUGGUCACUAUUUUGCCUACGGGGGAUGAUACUUAUAUUGACCUACAUGUUGGGUGCUAUAGGAGCCUAUGGGCGAUUGAUACUUAUAUUGACCUACGGGUCUAAAAUGCAUGCUUUAAUAGUAUAAAUGCAUACAUGAAAAUCAUGAUUCAAUAGUUACGUUUUAUGAAACGUUUGUGUGUAAGCUAGAUUUACAUUAUAUGAUUAUCAUGCUUUACUGAGAAUAUUUUGGAAUACCAUACUUUAUCGAAUUAAUGUUCUUUGUAGUAUAUAUGAUGGAUGACUAUAUACUAUUUAUGAACAUGUUUUUACACUCUUUAUAGUAUAUAUGAUGGAUGACUAUAUACCAUGAAGUGGUUUUGAGAUAUAUUUUGGAAAGAUUAUAUUCAAUGGUUUUGUGCUUAUCAAGUGGUCACUAUUUUGCCUACGGGGGAUGAUACUUAUAUUGACCUACAUGUUGGGUGCUAUAGGAGCCUAUGGGCGAUUGAUACUUAUAUUGACCUACGGGUUGGGUGCUGUAGGAGCCUACGGGCGAUUGAUACUUGUGAAGGAAUUGUUCUAAAGGAAGAGUUCUAUAUGCCUUUGGGCAAUACUGAUACCACUAGUUAGUACACUAUAUAUGACAUAUGUUUUAUGAAAGGUUUUAUGGCAUGCUAGGGUUUUCAGAAAACCUAUCACAUAUUAUGCUAUUAGUUUUCAGAAAACUUUGGGGGUUAGUACUUUAUUGAAUAACUGUUUCAGUAUUAUAUAUAUAUAUAUAUAUAUAUAUAUAUAUAUCAACUUGGUCCACUCAUGUUUGUUUUGUGCCCCCUUAGGAUUUAGAAUUGAGGCGUAUAAUCUUGGCGUCAGGGUACUUCCGCAUUGGCAUCUUCGAGUCCUCUCGGUGUAAGACCCAUUCCUUUGCUCAUUCAAUUUUAUAUUAUUUCUUUUAAUAUUCUAGUUAGUUGUAUGCUCUGAACAUGUUCCUUAAUUGCAUAUUCUUUAUAUUUAAAUUUCUAUUAUUUUAUUCAUAUUCAUUGUUCUCAUGCAUGUUAGAAUGGCUUCGUCAGCUCCGGGUGACGGCUAGCACGUGCCUACCCUGGUGUUUGGGAGAAUAUCAAGGUCGAGCAUGUCAGUUUGGUAUUAAAGCGUGGUUUGUUCAGAGCAUGCUUAGGAUCUUCUGUUACUGUAGUGGUGUGUCGGUCAUGACAUCAUUUGGAUGUCAUGACUUUCAGAUUUGUUGUCUUUUGGCACAGUUGUGCAACCUUCAUACUGCAUGAAUAGUCACAUGUUAUGGAAGAAGAAGAAACUUGUGUCGGGAUUUUACCUCAUCAGUGAUGAAUUGGUUUGUUGGAUGACUUUCAACAUCGAAUUGAUAAUAUGCAACAUGCAUUCCUUGGGAAUUGCCGGUAAAGUUAGUUUUACAUUGAAGUGGCAUGAUUUUUUAAUCUCAGUGAGAGGAAGUGGGGUUAAGACCAGUCGAAGAUCCAAGAUAGCAAUGCCACUAUGCGACAUGCGUUCCCUAGGAAUUACGGGCGGAGUUAGAUCUACGUAGGAGUUUUAGGAAAGGGAAAACAUUUGUGGUAUGAGUGGGUUAAGACCAACUAGAGACCCAAGACAGUGAUGCUACUCUGCGACAUGAUUUCAUUAGGAAUGGCAAGCAUAGUCAUGUCUUAGUGGUCAUUACUCAAAACAUUUGAAAUGCGUAUUGGAGAAAGCGAGUAAGCGCUAAUUGUGACGACGUUUAGUAAGUGAUAGUUGGUAAGAUCAAACCAAUGUUCUCGGACAUGUUCUUACUGAGGAAAUUCAUGUGGAUCUUUAGAAUAAGUUUUCUGCGAUUGUUCUAUCGUUAACUUUCUCGCUUACUCUAACCACGAGGUCAAGUUCACUAAACCUCGAUUGUCAGCUGUACGGCAAAUUCUUCGAACGUUGUUUUUGAUUAGAGUAUAGAAAUGUCUACGAUUGCACCAUGGUGUACCGCCCCAAUUGUGCAAGCGUAGUUGCGGAACACCUCAGUAGAAAGACACACACAAAGCUCAAGGGGGCAUAGGUAGGAUGUUUUGGCUUCCCAAUUUUGAGGCACAGUAGAUCAGCAGAGUAACGCAGUUGCAUAUUGUGAUGAUUAACCAAAUAAUCAUAAAUAGUGACUUCUAUUUCUGCAUCUUCACCUUCCUUCACUUGUUUGUUCCUCAAUGUAAAACUAGAUCAUUCUGUCGUACUGAUGUUUUCUACUACCUUUCACCCAAAGCUCAUCUUGAUCAUCCGAACCUAAUUGGACAAUUAUCCAGUGAGACAGUAUUGGAUUGGAAAAGCUGAAAAGAUGAAUCUACUGAACCAUAUAAAUUUGUUAGUGAUGUGAAAAUUAUGUUGACACUCAAAUUAACCCUCUUUUUAUCAAUUGUAGCAAGUAUGUAAGUAGGGAUCGUUCUAGGCCGGGGAUUAGGAGGGAUUGCAAAAUCACUUGGACUUGACUCAAAAACGUAAAAACAAGUUUAAAACACUAACUAGACUCCAAGAAUGUAAAACUAAAUUUUAAAACACUAAAACAAACCAAAAGACUCAAAACAGCAAAUAAACACUCAAAACUGCCUUAAAACCACUUUCUGGGCAGUUUUGGACACUAGGGAAGAAUUUGGACGAAAAUUGGUUUAAACUUGACUCAAGACACCUAAAAACACAAACUAAAUGGGUUUCUAACUAAUAUGACACUUAAAACUAAAGGGGGAUUGAUUUUGGACGAAUUUUGAAAACAAAACAAAACUUUGUAAAUUGAAAAGACGCUAAAACGAAUUUGGUUUAAAUGGAUGGAUGGAAGGCUAGCUAAGGGGUUCAUCUCCACACAUGUCACACUUGCAUAUAAAACGAUCUCUAAUUGCUUUUCAAUAAACCAUGAAUUCCCAACGCCCCAAGUUAAUUAGGUCUGCUUAAAUUAACCUUCAGAUUUUCCUAAUGUUAUUGAAUUGGAUGAUUGCAUACGACAACCCAAAGCAUUCCCUACAAGUCCCCUACAUGAUUGCAUAAUAGAGAUACAAGCAAGAAUCAUUAAGUUCUAUGAAAACCAUAAGCAUUGACGAAGCACUUGUUACUAUGAUUGCAUGAAACUUAUGCCAAGAAUUUACUUAACACGAUUGUGAUCAACAACCUUUACUACUUGUGAAUAUAAGUUCAUAACGAUUAGGUGAAAUUCCCUUAUAUUCUAGCAUCAAAUUCAUGCAUGCAAACUAAGUGUCGACCCUCAAUCAACAUACAAGAAUAAGUUUUAAUUCACAUAGAUAAGCAAAUUGAAAUCACAACUUAUGAAACGCAAUUAGAAGUAAUCAAAUCAUAUAGCAAGCAUAAUCAUGGUUUCGAAUCCCCCCUAGCCAAGGGGGUUUAGUUCCUCAUACUCGCAAAUAAACAAAGAUAAAUAAAUUUAAACAUUAAAACAAAGAUAGAAAACACCUAGAAACGCUCCACAAUCCAAGCUCCUUGAAUGGCAUGCACGGCUCCAAGAGUUCUUCCUUCUUCUCCUUUGCAAACUCACGGCACAAGAGGUAUAUUUGGGUGAAUGAUGUAGUGAAAAUAUGGUAGAGGAUGGUGAAUGAAAGGGUGCGGCAAUGAAUUGUAUAUAUAGGCUGAAAAUCCCAUCUCCUAGGUAGCAAAGGACAAGGUUUUAAAGGCUUAAAUUGCAUAGGAUAAUAACAUCGAAUCCUAUAAGGAAAACAAGUCAAAAACCCAAAGGGAUUGGGAGAUAAGGUGCAGCACAAAGAGUGUGAAAUGAUAAGGUUUCUAGAAACCAAAAUCCUAAAGGAAAUAGGGUAGAAAAUUCGGCCCAAAGUGUGGUUUCUAGAAGGAUAAUGCAAGGCAGAUUUUUAGGCUUCUAGAAAGGUUCUUAGGUGUCAUCUUGGUAGGAUACGAUAAGGUCUUCUAGAAAUCCUAUUUUAAGCAUCCUAAUCUAGUUAGAAACCCUCCUAAGUGGCUGGAAUGUGGAUAGUUUAGGAUUAGGAUAAGAUAAGAUAGGAUAAGGUUUGUUUGGAUAAGAUAAGCUAAGAUAAGGUUAUGGAUGAGGUUUUGGAUAAGAUUCCUUAUCUUGAGCUGAUUCUUUGGCUUUAAUUCUUCUUCUUCAUGUAGGAAACCUUGCUUGAGUAGGAAACUUCAUACAUCUAGGAAUCCAUCUUCAAUUAGGACUCCUACAUUGAUUAGGAAUCCCAAUUCAUUUAGGAAUCCUUUAUCCAAGCCAUUUCCUUCUUCAACUAGGAAACUUUGUAUCUUCAAUUCUUCAACUUUGAAACGCCUUCCUAGCUUCAUCAAUCCCUCAAAUUCGUCCAUCCCUUGUGCUUCAUAUGUAUGAACUCCAUUCUAGCCCAAUUUUGCUCCUGAAUGCUCCAAAUUGCAUCAUUUUGCUCACUUUGUCUCUAAAACCUGAAAACACAUGAAACUAGCUUAAAAGACUAACUUUAACUAUGAAAACACAACAUAAAUGCAUAAGAACUAACUAACUAAGGCGCAUAAAUAUGCUCCUAUCAGUUAGGAGUUUCAAAACGUCAAAUUAUUUCAUGAGAUGUAGGACGAAGUUGUGUGACAAGUGAUGUUAUCAGGUGUGUGACAUUAGAUCUUGAACGGUUAAUAAUCCUUAACGGUCAAGAUAGGUACUUGUAUGAACUCAAGCAGUAGAGUGUAUAUUCAAAUCCAGAUAUCUUGUAGGACUUGUUUUGACCCUCAAAUCCUAGAGUGUUCUUGUAACUUUCUCGCAAGCUUACUAGACUUAUCCAGAAGAGCUUCAUGUGGCCUUGAGGUUUGAGCUGUCUUUUAGUAAGAGAUUGAUGAAUGAUGUAGUCCAGGUGGUCAGCGAAUUGCAUUACCAAUCACUAUCUUCACGUAGAAAUGAAUAGUCACAUCUUAUUAUCUUGCUAUAAUUCAUAAACAUCAUAUCGUACUCUAGUAGUUUUUUUUCCAACGAUAUGUGUUUGUCUCAACCCAUCUUUCCACUGCUUCACUCCAGGACCUUAUUGUUCGUGAAUACGUGGAUGUCGAAACACUUCUAGCAUAUCUGAUUAGUGUGCUCUGGAAUGGUACGACAGUGUGGAUGAGGCGAGAAUCGGAUGAAUCUUUGUACACUCUCACGUUGCAGGGCAAAAAUGGUAUUCGGAAGAUCAAAUUUUCAAUAUGGAAAAUUGUGCACCUUUGGGAAAUUACUGCUUGCUUAUCGAGAAAACAAAUGUGUGGUCGAUAUCGUGGGCAGUUGACUGUUGUAUGGAUAACUUAUUCAUUGGGUUCGUUAAGCAAGUGGGCAGGAAGACCCGUACGGCAGUUGUUAAGGAUUUGCUAUUGUUGGGGCUCGACCUAAGGACAUAUCUGUUCUCGGAGUACGUGGUGUUUCGAGUGCUUGGGUAAGACCCACUUUCAUUUUUGGUUUUGGUUUUCAGCACAAGUAUUUAAAUUACUUAUUAUAGUUUUAUAUUUGUGUUUUCAACAUUACAAAUGUUUGGUCGAGUCAUUUUCACUUUCAUUGUUGAGUCCAGUAUGAAGUCUUCGACCUCUAUGUUAUUACACAUCUAUUUCGGCAUUAUCGUAUUAUACGUACAUAUUUUUUACCUUAUGCUAUUAUAUGUUUUAGUCUUUAUAUCUUUGUAAAGUAUAUUUCUACUUUUGCACUGAUGGGGGAAGAAGGUGUGAGCCUGGAGGCACGAAAGAUGGAAUCAUUGCAACCCGAUCGUGACGGUGUAGCAUUUUCCCUUUUGUGGAAUCGCUCUGUCUUGAUUUCUUCACUACAUAUAUAUAUAUAUAUAUAUAUUUUUUUUUUCUUCUUCUUAUUUUUGAAUAUUUCAGUGCAGCAAUUAAUUGAAAUUUCGAGAUAAAUUUUAUUUAACGAGGGUAGAUUAUGACAACCAGUCCCAGAUUUUACAGAACGAAAGGGUAUUUUUGGUAAAUUCCUUUGGAGUGGGCUAGAUAUUUUUGAAAGGUGAUUUUGGGUCUUAAUUUGUGUGCCUGGUAGGGCCACUUAUGUUUGGUUUUGUCCCCCCCCCCGGGCCCAACUCUAAUUCUCCUCUCCCUUCCUUGUAACCUCCCUCAUCACUCUCUUUCUCUCACCUCUCUUUGUCACUCCCUCCCUUCCCUUCUUCCAACACGCACAAAGACAACCUUCACACCACUGAGCUCCUCACUCCGAGACAUUCACACACAGCCACCACCCCUGGACCAUCAUUUUCCCCAUCAUCCUUCCCCAGAUCACUCUUCCUCUCUUCCUGGCCCACAUUGGAACACAGUCAUUGUGCUUGCAUCUCACCAGCGAGUUUUCGACAGUGCAACUAAGGUAAGCCUCCUAGAAUCCCUUUAGAUCAUGUUUGAGGUUAGUUUAGGGUGGGUUUAAGAACCUUGGUAACGUUUGAAUGCAAGAACAACUAGGGGAAGCAUUCUCCAUAUUUUCCAGCGAUUACCUGUGGGUUUGAGACCAAUUUCCUGCCAACUCCGGCCACCACACGUUGUGAAAUUGGUAUAAAUCUCUUCCUUGUUCUUUGGGCUUCAUUUUGGUAUUUUGUUCGACAUGUUUUGGUCAUGUUUUGGGGUUGAUCGGAGCUUGGCAGCUUCAGCUUCCUUUUUCCGUCGAAACCACGCCGUUGGGCCAUGCCAACUAAAAACCCAAAACCCUUUUACCUUGAACCGGUUCAGGUCUUUGGGCUAUGGACCUCGACCCAGACUUUGGCCAUUUAAGUUGAGCCCAACCCAAGUCCUUAACCCAUUAGUCCCAACCCAGGAGCCCAAACCCUUGGGUCGGGCUACCAAGCCCAUUGAACCUAGCCCUUUUUGCUUCGGACCCAAAACCCAAAUUCAAAAGAGAAACCAGCCCAAACCCAAAAGAGAAAUCGGCCCAAACCCAAGAGAAAUCUGGCCCAACCUUUUGACCCGACUUGGUUGGAACAUUUUGAAGAAUAUUCCUCGAACAUUCUGAGGAAUAUUCCUAGAACAUUCUCUGGACUAUUCUCGUGUUGACUUUUUGUUGACUUUUUCAAAAUUUACUCAAGACCCUUCUUAGGGUAAUUCGAAGUCAUGAAUCCGUUUCCGACAUCCUUUUCCGAAAUUUAAUCGUUAAGUAUAGUUUUAUUAAUUGGACCCUUUAUGUGCUUAGGUGCAUUUAUUGUGGCAGUUCCAUCUUCCCUAGUUUAUAUGGCUCUUUGGUGGCAAAGUAUCUGUGAGUGGACCCUUUCUAAAAUGCAUGCUUUAAUAGUAGAAAUGCAUACAUGAAAAGCAUGAUUUAAUAGUUACGUUUUAUGAAACAUUUGUGUGUAAAUUAGAUUUACAUUAUAUGAUUAUCAUUCUUUAUUGAGAAUAUUUUGGAAUACCAUACUUUAUCGAGUUAAUGUUCUUUGUAGUAUAUACGAUGGAUGACUAUAUACUAUUUAUGAACAUGUUUUUACACUUUUUAUAGUAUAUAUGAUGGAUGACUAUAUACUAUGAAGUGGUUUUAAGAUAUUUUUUGAAAAGAUUAUAUUCAAUGUUUUUGUGCUUAUCUAGUGGUCACUAUUCUGCCUAUGGGGGAUGAUACUUAUAUUGACCUACGAGUUGGGUGUUGUAGGAGCCUACAAGCGAUGAUACUUAUAUUGACCUACGGGUUGGGUGCUAUAAAAGUCUACGGGCGAUUGAUACUUGUGAAGGAAGUGUUUUGAAGGAAGAAUUCUAUAUGCAUUCGAGCAAUACUGAUACCACUAGUUAGCACAUUAUAUAUGACAUAUGUUUUAUGAAAGGUUUUAUGGCAUGCUAUUAGUUUUCAUAAAACUUUGGGGGUUAGUACGUUAUUGAAUAACUAUUUCAGUAUUAUAUAUAUAUAUAUAUAUAUAUAUCAACUUGGUCCACUCUUGUUUGUUUUGCCCUUCCUCAAGACUUAGAUUUGAGGUGUACAAUCCUGGCGUCAGGGCAUUUCCGCAUCGGCAUCUUUGAGUCCUCUCGGUGUAGGACCCAUUCUUAUGCUCAUUCAAUUUUACAUUAUUUAUUUUAGUGUUCUAGUUAGCUGUAUGCUCUGAACAUGUUCCUUAAUUGCAUAUUCUUCAUAUUUAAAUUUCUAUUAUUUUAUUCAUAUUCAUUGUUCUCAUGCAUGUUAGAAUAGCUUUGUCACUUCUGGGUGAUGGCCAGCACGUGCCUACCCUGGUGUUUGGGAGAAUAUCAUGGUCGGGCGUGUCACAACCUCUAGUGUUGAUAAUAGCAAUGUGGAUUGUUCAUUUGUUGUUGAAAAUGAGGAAUAUAUUGUCUAGAAAAUGCAUGAUUGUGCUUUAAUGUAGUUGUAUACUGCAACUCUUUCUCCAGUAGCUAUUUCCUGUACUAUUGGCAAUGUUAGCUCUCAAGAUUUGUGGACCAGACUAAAGGAACAAUUCUCCACUGUUUCUCAGACUAGUAUCUUUCAAAUGAAGUAUAAUAUGCAAACAAUCAAGAAAGGGUCUGAUAAUGUGUCUUAAUACUUACAAAAGAUUAAAGAAGCUCGAGAUUAUCUUUCUGCUGCUAGGGAGAUGAGGAUAUUUUGAUUCUUGCAUUAAAUGGAUUACCUCCCGAGUAUAAUACAUUUCGAUGUGUGAUUAGGGGCCGUGAGAAUGUUAUCUCUCUCAAGGAGUUCAGAUCCCAACUUCUUGCUGAGGAACUUAUUGUUGAAAACAAUGUUCACACUCCAUUCUUGUCUGCUAUGGUUGCAGAUAGUUCCUCAGCUACCAAAGGUUCAACCUCUCAGUUACAUACCAAUUAUGGUUAAUCUUCUAGUCAAUCCAAUUUUUUCUCAUGAGGGAACAUACAAUUUAAUUACAACAAGCAAAAGGGCAGGGGCAAGUUUAAUCAAGGAGCAAAGUUUAACAGAUAGUCUUACAAUGUGUAUCCUAAUUCCACCUCAGGAGUUCUUGGAUCCCCUCCAAUUGCAUAUAAUGGUGACUCUCUGUCAAUUGUGCAACACAUAUGGUCAUUCUGCUUCUUUUUGUGGAUCAAGACCUCCAUCAAAACAUAGCUUUCAUAUUUGUGGGAAGACUAACCAUUCUACUUGGUUUUACUUUCAUAAUGACAAAGGGCCGAUUUACAUUGGUGCUUCUUAGUUUCCUUAAUCCACUGCUUCUUAUGCAAUUUCUUGAUUUCAUUCUCAAGUACCAAUGCCUCAUUCUAAAUCUCCAAAUCAGUCUCAAUUGCAUGCUAUGAAUACUAUGGUCUCUCAUCAAACACAAGGCUUUUCUCCAAAUAAUUCUGAAGGAAAAAUUUGUGAAAACAAGUUCAUUUGAGCAACAUCUAUGCAUGCAAUUAACAAUUAAAGGAGGAAUCAUGCUUGUAUGCACUCAAAAAUAAAGCUUUACCCAUGAAAUUCAAGGCCUAGUAGUUGUGGUGAACUAAGACUCAACUUAAAUCUUAAAGAAAAGAGUUGAGAAACUUUUAUACCUUUGAAGCACCUCUUUGCUUAGCAAAGGAUAUUCACCCAUGUGAGGGCCUAUUUCCUUAGUCUCAUUGCUCCUUGGCUCCAUGGAUAUGGAUGGAGGAACUUUGCUUCUUGGCUCCAUGACUUAUUGGAUAUAAAUGAAGGAAUGGAUUCUCCAAGUUCCCAAGAAAGGGAACCUCUAAGUUUCCAUACCAAGGAGAACAUUGAGGAAGAAAUGAGUGACCUGGGAAGAAAUGGAUGCUAGUCCAUUCUUCCUAGGGUGGCCGGCUGAUAGGAGCAUAUUUAUGCGACUUAGUUAGCUUGUUCUUGUGCAAUUAUGUUGUUAUUUAUUAGUUAAUUUAGUAUUUCAAGCCAUUUUCGUGUGUUUGUAGGUCCAAAGGGCUAAAGUAGCAAGAAAGUGCAUUUUGGAGUAGUUUUGGGCUUGGAAUGGAUAGCACAUGCUUGGAGCAAGGUGGAUGGACGAAAUUGAAGACCAAAAGAGGCUAGGAUUAUGUUAAAGUUAUUAAUUCAAAGAAAAGGAAGUUAAAGAUGCAAUCAACAAAGAAGGAAUGUUAGCCAAAGUUACCUUAUUUUGGUCCUAACCUUUCCUAAUCCUUCACCACUUAAUUUCCAGCUUCAAAGAGGUGUUCUAAACACUUUAGGACACUUAAUUACAUGUUUCUAGAAGGUCAAACCCAGCUAAAGAGGGAUGCCGCACAUCCUUCCCUUUCCUUUUCCCUUGCCGUGCAAGGCAUCCAUUUUUCCUUCCCUUUUUCCUUGUUGCCGCAUAUCCCAUUACCCUUUUCUCUUGGGAAUCUGAUUUAUUACCCUUUUCUUG
rnacentral:lncRNA from 1 species